AGCAGCCGCGGUAAUUCCAGCUCCAAUAGCGUAUAUUAAAGUUGUUGCAGUUAAAAAGCUCGUAGUUGAAUUUCGGGAUUGACACAUCGGUCGUGCCUUAAGGGGUAUGAACUGGUGUAGUCAAUUUCUCACCUUCUGGAGAACCGCGAUGCCCUUAAUUGGGUGCCGCGGGGAACCAGGACCUUUACUUUGAAAAAUUAGAGUGUUUAAAGCAGGCAUUUUGCUUGAAUACAUUAGCAUGGAAUAAUAAAAUAGGACGGCAUGAUUCUAUUUUGUUGGUUUCUAGGAUCACCGUAAUGAUUAAUAGGGAUAGUUGGGGGCAUUAGUAUUCAAUUGUCAGAGGUGAAAUUCUUGGAUUUAUUGAAGACUAACUACUGCGAAAGCAUUUGCCAAGGAUGUUUUCAUUAAUCAAGAACGAAAGUUAGGGGAUCGAAGACGAUCAGAUACCGUCGUAGUCUUAACCAUAAACUAUGCCGACUA
rnacentral:misc_RNA from 1 species